rnacentral:rRNA from 1 species
AUUGAACGCUGGCGGAAUGCUUUACACAUGCAAGUCGAGCGGCAGCGCGGGGCAACCUGGCGGCGAGCGGCGAACGGGUGAGUAAUGUAUCGGAACGUGUCCUUGAGUGGGGAUAGCCCGGUGAAAACCGGAUUAAUACCGCAUACGCAGGAGACUGGAAAGCGGGGAUCGCAAGACCUCGCGCUCUAGGAGCGGCCGAUAUCCGAUUAGUUUGUUGGUGAGGUAAAGGCACCAAGGCGAUGAUCGGUAGCUGGUCUGAGAGGAUGAUCAGCCACACUGGGACUGAGACACGGCCUAGACUCCUACGGGAGGCAGCAGGUGGGGAAUUUUGGACAAGUGGGGGCAACCCUGAUCCAGCCAUUCCGCGUGAGU